rnacentral:rRNA from 1 species
GUGGGGAAUUUUGGACAAUGGGCGCAAGCCUGAUCCAGCAAUGCCGCGUGUGUGAAGAAGGCCUUCGGGUUGUAAACUGCUUUUGUACGGAACGAAACGGUCCGGGUUAAUACCCUGGGCUAAUGACGGUACCGUAAGAAUAAGCACCGGCUAACUACGUGCCAGCAGCCGCGGUAAUACGUAGGGUGCAAGCGUUAAUCGGAAUUACUGGGCGUAAAGCGUGCGCAGGCGGUUUUGUAAGACAGGCGUGAAAUCCCCGGGCUCAACCUGGGAAUUGCGCUUGGGACUGCAAGGCUGGAGUGCGGCAGAGGGGGAUGGAAUUCCGCGUGUAGCAGUGAAAUGCGUAGAUAUGCGGAGGAACACCGAUGGCGAAGGCAAUCCCCUGGGCCUGCACUGACGCUCAUGCACGAAAGCGUGGGGAGCAAACAGGAUUAGAUACCCGAGUAGUCC